GUUUCUGUGGGUUCUGCAGGCUAAUCCCUGCCCCACCCUUUCAGCGGAGCAGCGAGUGCUGUCCUUCAGGCGGCUAAUCCCGUUGGCACAGCCUAGCUUGCUUUAAUCCUCCCACAUCGCCCAGCGCUCCGCAGCCUACACACUCUCACCGCUUCUGGGAUGACGGGCCACUGUUAAGACCCUCAGGAUGUUCAGCUGGGUGGUGAAGGGGGUUCCCCAGCCUCCUGGGAAACUAGGAGAUGAGGAGAAGACCAAUGCCUCACCUGCAACAGUAAAACAAGUAACAUUCAAAGAAGAGAAGAAACAAGAAGCUCUAAAACCUGCCAAGGCCAAAGAGGAGGAGGUCGCCGAGGAGAAUGGUGGUGAGGCUGGAGUGUUGACUUGGAUCACCCAUGGCUUUGCUAAUUCUCUUCCCCAGCCUGCUGGGACAGCCCGGCUAGGCAGAUCCAACACUGAGCCCUCCACCACACAGGAGGAGAACAGGCAGGGGUCAGUCAUCGGCUGGAUUGCCCAGGGAUUGGCCAGUGUGGUUCCACAGCCUGAAUUGAAAAACAUGGAGGAGGUGGAGCCUGCAGAGACAACAGAGAUUGCAGAGGUGAUCAAGGUGCCGGAGGUUAAGAAAAAACCUAGCGUGCAUGCUAUCCAAGAUGUCCCAGAUGCAGAGCCUCUUCCUCAUAUUCCUGUGGUGGAGGUUAUGUCAGAUGAAGAGCCUCAAGAAGAGAAGGGAAUCCCACCCAGGGUGUAUGAGUGGAUCAAACAGGGUUUUGAGAGGUGGUUCCACAGCCAGCUGACAACAAAGACGUCUCACGCGAAGGCCGCUGCCCACAGAAAGGUUAUCUUCUAACACGCCGAGAUCCUCAUAUUUAUUAUAGGGAU
rnacentral:lncRNA from 1 species